rnacentral:rRNA from 1 species
AUUGAACGCUGGCGGCAUGCCUUACACAUGCAAGUCGAACGGCAGCACGGGUGCUUGCACCUGGUGGCGAGUGGCGAACGGGUGAGUAAUACAUCGGAACAUGUCCUGUAGUGGCGGAUAGCCCGGCGAAAGCCGGAUUAAUACCGCAUACGAUCUACGGAUGAAAGCGGGGGACCUUCGGGCCUCGCGCUAUAGGGUUGGCCGAUGGCUGAUUAGCUAGUUGGUGGGGUAAAGGCCUACCAAGGCGACGAUCAGUAGCUGGUCUGAGAGGACGACCAGCCACACUGGGACUGAGACACGGCCCAGACUCCUACGGGAGGCAGCAGUGGGGAAUUUUGGACAAUGGGCGAAAGCCUGAUCCAGCAAUGCCGCGUGUGUGAAGAAGGCCUUCGGGUUGUAAAGCACUUUUGUCCGGAAAGAAAUCCUUGGCCCUAAUACGGUCGGGGGAUGACGGUACCGGAAGAAUAAGCACCGGCUAACUACGUG